rnacentral:rRNA from 1 species
UACGGGGGGGGCAAGCGUUGUUCGGAAUUACUGGGCGUAAAGGGCUCGUAGGCGGCCAACUAAGUCAUACGUGAAAUCCCUCGGCUUAACCGGGGAACUGCGUCUGAUACUGGAUGGCUUGAGUUCGGGAGAGGGAUGCGGAAUUCCAGGUGUAGCGGUGAAAUGCGUAGAUAUCUGGAGGAACACCGGUGGCGAAGGCGGCAUCCUGGACCGAUACUGACGCUGAGGAGCGAAAGCCAGGGGAGCAAAGCGGG